GCAAGUCGAACGGUAACAGAAGCUAGCUUGCUAGCUUGCUGACGAGUGGCGGACGGGUGAGUAACGCAUAGGAAUCUGCCCAGUAGUGGGGGACAACACGGAGAAAUCCGUGCUAACACCGCAUACGACCUACGGGUGAAAACGGGGGACCUUCGGGCCUCGUGCUACUGGAUGAGCCUAUGUCAGAUUAGCUUGUUGGUGGGGUAAUGGCCUACCAAGGCAACGAUCUGUAGCUGGUCUGAGAGGAUGAUC
rnacentral:rRNA from 1 species